CAUGCAAGUCAACGCUCUUUGUGGGAACUACAGAGGGAGUGGCGGACGGGUGAGUAACGCGUGGGUUAUCUACCUUGAGGUGAGGAAUACCGGCGAGAAAUCGCCGACAAGACCGCAUAGCCUGGAGUCUCUCCAGGAAAGUUCCGGCGACGGGACGCCCCAAGAUGAGCCUGCGUCCGAUUAGCUUCGUUGGUGGGGUAACGGCCUACCAAAGCGACGAUCGGUAGCUGGUCUGAGAGGACGAUCAGCCACACUGGGAUUGAGAACGGCCCAGACUCCUACGGGGGGCAGCAGUGAGGAAUUUUCGUCAAUGGGGGAAACCCUGAACGAGCAACGCCGCGUGCAGGAAGAAGGUUUUCGGAUCGUAAACUGCUUUUCUCGGGGAAGAGAACGGACGGUACCCGAGGAAGAAGCCCCGGCUAACUACGUGCCAGCAGCCGCGGUAAUACGUAGGGGGCAAGCGUUGUCCGGAUUUAUUGGGCGUAAAGCGCACGCAGGCGGUCUUCUACGUUUCCAGUGACAGGUGGUGGCUCAACUGCCACAGGUCUGGGGAAACGGGUUGACUUGAGGACGAGAGAGGGAUGCGGAAUUCCAAGGUGGAGCGGUGAAAUGCGUAGAGAUCUGGAAGAACACCAAUGGCGAAGGCAGCAUCCUGGAUCGUUUCUGACGCUCCGGUGCGAAAGCCUGGGGAGCGAACGGGAUUAGAUACCCCGGUAGUCCUGGCUGUAAACGAUGACCACUAGACGUAGGAGGUAUCGACCCCUUCCGUGUCGCAGCUAACGCACUAAGUGGUCCGCCUGGGGAGUACGGUCGCAAGAUUAAAACUCAAAGGAAUUGACGGGGACCCGCACAAGCAGCGGAGCGUGUGGUUUAAUUCGAUGCAACGCGAAGAACCUUACCAAGGCUUGACAUGGACUCGCACCAGCCGUAACGGGCUGUCUCUUUCGGGAGCGGGUUCACAGGUGCUGCAUGGCUGUCGUCAGCUCGUGUCGUGAGAUGUUGGGUUAAGUCCCGCAACGAGCGCAACCCCUAUCGUUAGUUGAAUCCUCUAGCGAGACUGCCACGCUAAACGUGGAGGAAGGUGGGGAUGACGUCAAGUCAGCACGGCCCUUACGCAUUGGGCGACACACACGCUACAAUGGUCAGGACAAAGAGUUGCCAACCCGCGAGGGGGAGCUAAUCUCGUCAAACCUGAUCUCAGUUCAGAUUGCAGGCUGCAACCCGCCUGCAUGAGGUCGGAGUUGCUAGUAACCGUAGGUCAGCACACUACAGGUGAUAC
rnacentral:rRNA from 1 species